AGGUACCUUUCGUACACUCCGGUAUCUCCAUGUCAUCCGCACACCGGUCUAUUGCUGGCUACGUCUUGUUAACC
rnacentral:sRNA from 1 species